rnacentral:rRNA from 1 species
GGCGUAAAGAGCUCGUAGGUGGUUUGUCGCGUUGUUCGUGAAAUCUCACGGCUUAACUGUGAGCGUGCGGGCGAUACGGGCAGACUUGAGUACUGCAGGGGAGACUGGAAUUCCUGGUGUAGCGGUGGAAUGCGCAGAUAUCAUGAGGAACACCGGUGGCGAAGGCGGGUCUCUGGGCAGUAACUGACGCUGAGGAGCGAAAGCGUGGGGAGCGAACAGGAUUAGAUACCCUGGUAGUCCACGCCGUAAACGGUGGGUACUAAGUGUGGGUUUCCUUCCUUGGGAUCCGUGCCGUAGCUAACGCAUUAAGUACCCCGCCUGGGGAGUACGGCCGCAAGGCUAAAACUCAAAGAAAUUGACGGGGGCCCGCACAAGCGGCGGAGCAUGUGGAUUAAUUCGAUGCAACGCGAAGAACCUUACCUGGGUUUGACAUGCACAGGACGCCGGCAGAGAUGUCGGUUCCCUUGUGGCCUGUGUGCAGGUGGUGCAUGGCUGUCGUCAGCUCGUGUCGUGAGAUGUUGGGUUAAGUCCCGCAACGAGCGCAACCCUUGUCUCAUGUUGCCAGCGGGUAAUGCCGGGGACUCGUGAGAGACUGCCGGGGUCAACUCGGAGGAAGGUGGGGAUGACGUCAAGUCAUCAUGCCCCUUAUGUCCAGGGCUUCACACAUGCUACAAUGGCCGGUACAAAGGGCUGCGAUGCCGCGAGGUUAAGCGAAUCCUUUUAAAGCCGGUCUCAGUUCGGAUCGGGGUCUGCAACUCGACCCCGUGAAGUCGGAGUCGCUAGUAAUCGCAGAU